UAAUCUCACCAUCAUCCAUAAAUAAUCGACAACUAUAAAGCUUGUUUCAGCUAUAAGUUUAUCUAUAAAGCAUGAAAUGCAGUUAAUUAAUUCCAUAUGAAAUUACCUUGCAUUUGGCAAUAGUGUCAAAGUCUCAUUUCUCGGCCUGGUUGUCACCAUUGCCACCAGAAUCAUCAGUAAUCUACAAAAAGCAUUUUAAUAUGUAAAUUAGAUAUGCCACAUUUCAGGUAAUGAUACAUGAUGCUCAAUCAGAAUAAUUUCCAGAAAUAACUAACCAUAUUUAUUGCUGAUUCCGCACCAUCUAAAAGGUUCGAUGAAACAUUCCCUUUGCGUACUUCCUUCAAAACUUGUCCCAAAAAAGAAGCAAUCAUUUUAAAUGAUUGUGUUGUUUCUUCAAACUUGGUGUUUAGAACUUGAUUUUGUUGCGCAAGGUCCUCAUUUUGCUUCUUGACAACUGAUAUUUCACCUUUCAUGUUCUCCACUUCCAUAGCAUUGUUGUUAACAUAGCUUGACCCUUCUUUCCUCAGCAAACCUUCCACUCCAAAGAUGUCGCUUUGCUUCACUCCAAAUCCAUAAUUCAGAGGACGUUUAGGUACUUCACCUUUAUACAUGAGCUCAUUAAAGACUGCAUUCUCAAUUUCAAUUACGGGCUUUGAAGAAGAGGAACUCGCAAGAUUUUCUUGGACCUUUUUGUUGGCAUCCUCCUGUUAUAUAAUAUGAAAAGAUCACUCAAAAUCUAUUAACCAAGAAUACUAUGUACAAGCAAAGAAAAAAAUAAAUAGACUUCAAGAGACAAGAUUGAUUUAUAGAAUUAGCUCAAUGCAAUGAUACCACAAAUUGAUGAGGAAGUGUGCCCUCUUUAAAGCUUCCAUCUUCUUUGGCGUAAACUGAUUUGAAAAAUGCCAAUUCGCUAAACACUCCUUUCUUCUCUUUCUGCAAUUUCAGGAAAAAAAUAAAUUGAAAACUGAAAUUUUGAAGUUCUUAAACCGACUAUCACUAUAUUUGUUUAACACUUUGAGUUGUUAUCCCCGUAGUAGGGUUGCUGGGUGCAUUGCCACUUUGCAAGGGGUGACAGAGUCGGCAACAGAGGCAGUGACAUCAGCAAGCUCUCUGCUAAUUGUGUCAGGCUAAGGGGAAUUCAGGAGUACGUUUCCGUGUAGAUGCAGGGAAGAUAAUAAACAGAAGAAAUAUCAGCCAAUAGUUGCUUUAUACCUGUAUUCAGUUUGUUUUGUUUCUGUAACAAGUGGCAAAUAUUAGUUCUAGUUAUUAAGAUAUUAGGUAAAUAAGUUUUUGCAAACUUGUUUGCAGGUACAUUUUCUUUGCAUUGUUUUUAGUUUAUCUUACAUGAUCCAAUAAUUAAAAUCAAUAUGGACAUUGAUGAAUCCCAUGAUCCCAGCUGGCCUCUAUGCUUUUGACAGAGGACUAACAGAUAAUCUAUCGAUUCUUAUAAUCUGAUAAUGUAAACAUUGACAGAUAAUUUGACUACUAAGUGAGUAAAUAAAAUGAAAACCCAGACCAAUUGGACGACUUCGACGCUGUCCCACGGGCACCAUAGGGUUCCGAUUUCCCCUCAUAAGAAGGAGAAGGAGAAGGAAAAGCCUAACUCUUUGAAGGUUGUGAGGGCAGCGCCGAAGGCAGAGUCGAAUACCGAUGCUAAGAGUGGAGUUCAGAAGUUUAGGGUCAAGCUGUUGCCUGAAAGUGGUGGCCAAGAGUGUCAUGGAUGUUCUCUGUAUGCCUUACUUCAAUAGCUGGGAAUAUCAUCAACUGAAACAAGUGAGAAAGUUGGGACAUUUUCACUUGCAUAUGCAGCUCACAAGGCCGCAUCUCCGAUAAAGUUUCUGCCUACAGUUGCCCUAACUCCAUUGUUGCUUCCUGGAUUUCAAGAAAGUAGAUAAAGAUAACUAAUCCCAGAAUAUAUGACUACUCUGUAUAUGACUUUUCUUCCAUUUGUGUAAUACCAGAAUAUGUUAUUGGAUACGUAGCAGAAUCAACUCUUUGUCAUUUCA